GCCGGGAUGGCGGAAUUGGCAUACGCGCCAGCCUUAGGAGCUGGUGGAGCAAUCCUUGAGGGUUCGAGUCCCUCUCCCGGCA
rnacentral:tRNA from 1 species